rnacentral:rRNA from 1 species
AGAACGAACGCUGGCGGCAUGCCUAACACAUGCAAGUCGAACGCUUUUGGGGCUUCGGUCCCAAAGGAGUGGCGCACGGGUGAGUAGCGCGUGGGAACCUGCCCUGUUGUGGGGGAUAACCGAGGGAAACUUCGGCUAAUACCGCAUACGCCCGGGGGAAACUCCGGGGAAAGAUUUAUCGCAGCAGGAGGGGCCCGCGUCGGAUUAGGUAGUUGGUGGGGUAACGGCCCACCAAGCCUGUGAUCCGUAGCUGGUCUGAGAGGAUGAUCAGCCACACUGGGACUGAGACACGGCCCAGACUCCUACGGGAGGCAGCAGUGGGGAAUAUUGGACAAUGGGCGCAAGCCUGAUCCAGCAAUGCCGCGUGAGUGAUGAAGGCCUUCGGGUUGUAAAGCUCUUUCGCACGCGACGAUGAUGACGGUAGCGUGAGAAGAGCCCGGCUAACUCGCGCCAGCAGCCGC